rnacentral:rRNA from 1 species
AUUAAAGUUGUUGCAGUUAAAAAGCUCGUAGUUGGAUUUCGGGGCUCCUUAUGUAAUAGUCAUGCGGUGGACACUUGCUUGUUGCUUUAGGGGGGUGUUUUUUUGGGGCAACCCGAGGACACCACCCGGCGGCAGGGGAAAGGCCACUGCGGGCGGGGCCCAUUUAUAUUUCUCGAAGACGUCACGGGCCCUUAACUGGUGUACUGUGGUCGCGGAUUCGAGACGUUUACUUUGAAAAAAUUAAAGUGUUCAAAGCAGGCAAUCAAAAACGCUUGAAUACAUUAGCAUGGAAUAAUGGAAUAGGACUUUGGUCUUAUUUUGUUGGUUUCUAGGACUGAAGUAAUGAUUAAUAGGGACAGUUGGGGGCAUUCGUAUUUAAUUGUCAGAGGUGAAAUUCUUGGAUUUAUGAAAGACGAACUUCUGCGAAAGCAUUUGCCAAGGAUGUUUUCAUUAAUCAAGAACGAAAGUUAGGGGAUCGAAGACGAUUAGAUACCGUCGUAGUCCUAACCAUAAACUAUGACGACUAGGGAUCAGUGGGGAACAAAUCAAAAAACUCCAUUGGCACCUUAUGAGAAAUCAAAGUUUUUGGGUUCUGGGGAAAGUACCAACGCAAGUUGGAAGCUUAAAGGAAUUGACGGAAGGGCACACCAGGCGUGGAAUCUGCGGCUUAAUUUGACUCAACACGGGGAAACUCACCAGGUCCAGACAAAAUAAGGAUUGACAGAUUGAGAGCUCUUUCUUGAUUUUUUGGGCAGUGGUGCAUGGCCGUUCUUAGUUGGUGGAGCGAUCUGUCUGGUUAAUUCCGAUAACGAACGAGACCUUAACCUGCUAAAUAGCGACGUCAUUCCUUGUGAAGGACGGAUUUUGACUUCUUAGAGGGACUAUCGGUGACUAACCGAUGGAAGUUUGAGGCAAUAACAGGUCUGUGAUGCCCUUAGAUGUUCUGGGCCGCACGCGCGUUACACUGACAGAGGCAGCGAGUUUUUUUAAAUAUCCUGGCCUGGAAAGGUUUGGGUAAUCUUGUGAAUCUCUGUCGUGAUGGGGAUAGAUCUUUGUAAUUAUCGAUCUUCAACGAGGAAUGCCUUGUAAUCGCGGUUCAUCAAAUCGCGUUGACUACGUCCCUGCCCUUUGUACACACCGCCCGUCGCUACUACCGAUUGAAUGGUUUAGUGAGGUCUCGGGACUGGCGCGGCUUGGCUGUAAAAGGCCGAUCCAUGCUGGGAACUUGCCCAAACUUGAUCAUUUAGAGGAAGUAAAAGUC